GACGAACGCUGGCGGCGUGCUUAACACAUGCAAGUCGAACGGAAAGGCCCUGCUUUUGUGGGGUGCUCGAGUGGCGAACGGGUGAGUAACACGUGAGUAACCUGCCCUUGACUUUGGGAUAACUUCAGGAAACUGGGGCUAAUACCGGAUAGGAGCUCCUGCUGCAUGGUGGGGGUUGGAAAGUUUCGGCGGUUGGAGAUGGACUCGCGGGUUAUCAGCUUGUUGGUGGAGUAGUGGCUUACCAAGGCUUUGACGGGUAGCCGGCCUGAGAGGGUGGACGGGGACAAGGGGACUAAGAGACGGAGCAGUAGGCUACGGGAGGCAGUGGUGGGGAAUAUGGCACAGUGGGCGGAAGCCUGAUGCAACAGCGCCGCGAGCGGGAAGACGUCCUACGGGGUGUAAACCGCUUUCGCCUGAGACGAAGCGUGAGUGACGGUAAUGGGUAAAGAAGCACCGGCUAACUACGUG
rnacentral:rRNA from 1 species